UUCUUCAACCUUAAGCCUUUUCUCUUUCUCUUUGCCUCUUUUGAUCCAACUCCCCAAAACACGUUCUGACUCUCUAUGUUCUCAAUUCUCUAUUUUGUUCCAAGAUUUAUUUCAUUCCAAAAUAGACUUUUCCCCUUGUACCCUCCAACUUAUCAUUGCAUUCCCAUUUUAUCCUCCAUAGUUUCCUUAUUCCCAACCUU
rnacentral:lncRNA from 1 species